ACGCGACCCCAGGUCAGGCGGGGCUACCCGCUGAGUUUAAGCAUAUCAAUAAGC
rnacentral:rRNA from 2 species